AAUAGAUUAAGAUUCAAUGCAAACAAAACUUGGCUAAACCAGACUCCUAGAUCUAAGAGGGACAUUGCAGGAAGGUCAGGAACUCAGGCCCCCACUCAGGCGUGGAUGGAAUGAUGAUGUUGGCCUUCCUGACUUCAGUCAACUGAAGCUUGUACUCUGAAGACCUUGGCCCCAGGAGGUCCUGGGAAGGAAUAUGGAACGAACACCACCACCCAGAAGAAUUUGGGAAAUGUCAAAAGGAGGAAGGAGAUGCCAGUCCAUACGUCCUACCAAGCUUUCAGCAUCUCAUCUUCUCACUGGAAUCCAUCUUAGCUGAGCGAUGCGCAUGGCCAGGAAAGACCCUGAAUCAGAAUGACUGGGCAGAGACAGGUCAUAAGUUGUCUCAUUACCAUAAAGCCUGAGACUGUGAGCCACGUGGUGGAGCAGUUGUCCUGAGUUCCCUUGCCCUCCCGCCCUCUGCUCAGGCGCCCCUUCCCAAUAAAAUCUCAUGCUUUGACAGCACGUGCGUCUCCUCGGACAAUUCACUGUUGAGUAUGAGAUGAGUGCCCACUCUCAGGCCCUGAAGGAGGCCCUCUUCCUGCAACAAAUGGCUACUCUGGUGGGAUCUCUUCUUUGCCACGACUGACAUCCUGAUCACUUGGGGUACUUGGGAACAAGCUUGCCUGCCCAUGGACCAGACCCAGUGGUCACUACCUGGGACCCUUUGUCCCUGGUCUCCUCCUGAUGCAGCUGGUUGGUCAGAGUGCCCUGACCCUGACCGGGGUGGAGUUCCUGACCUUUCUUCCUGAAAAGCCAAGGGAAAGUCCUGUAAUAUCUGAGCGCUGCAGGUGGCAGGAGCCGUCUGUAAGGUCAUCUCUUUUGUCCCUUCUCCUUACCC
rnacentral:lncRNA from 1 species